GUUGUUUUCAGAGGCACAGUAUCCUUGGUCACAGCUCAUACCAAGGAGAUGCUAAUGAUAGCUUUAUCCUGCAUCUCUUUGAAAAACUCGGAAAAAGCUUUUCCCACGAGGCGAACCUCUUUCUUAGACAUCACGCUGUAAUUCUACUCCAUCUUCCUCCUCCGGGGGUACCUUCAGAGCAUUCGAAGGACUUGAAGGACGAGUGACCAGAGCAGCAACAAUGAGCAGAAGGCCAUUUGUGAGCUCCAUGCAGCCUGCUGUACACGGUGCUGAUCUGGGGACUUGAUGAACUGCACCACUGAAGCUGUAAUACAGACUCCACUAAACCCCUUAAGGACCUCCUCGUAAUGGUGGCACACUGUUCCAUAAAAAUGCUAGUUUGCUUUGGAAAUUGAGGUGCAGGUUCAUUAGAAGCCGUCCUGUUGAAUUUGAGAAUAAAGUUCCCAAGAGAGUUGGCGAGAGAGGCCAGAGGAGUCACGGGAGAAUUUCUAUAACGCACACACGCACGCACUCUUUGUGGAUCCGCGGUAGGUUUUUACGCGCUCUCCGUCUCCUGCAGUGUUGGUGGUAUCAC